ACUUUUGUCUGGAGAAGGAUCUAGUAGUUGUGUUCCUGAACAGAUCCCAGAAGUGACUUCCAGCCAUGUAAUUACAUAACAUGACAUGCUUUGAGUAGAACCAUGAGGAAAUCAAACUGACAAGUGCAGCCUGUGAGCACUGCUAAUGCUGUUUGUCAACCGCAUUAACUAAGAUGGAUUAUCAGCUUUUGCAUUGAAGUCACAGGAGAACCUAAGAGCAGCUCUGUGAAGUCAGAACAGUCAUCAAGCCCAAGAUCUCCUGUUUCAGUGGAGAAAAUAAAUAUUCUCAUACUCUUCCCUUAUUCAGGGCAAAUAGGUACCAUAUUAUCCCUAAUACUCCCCGCCUUUACCCAAAGAAGGUUAAGGAGCCAAGCAAAAGUGGUAAUGUUAUGCUUCUGUUAAUAGAUUUUCUCUUUCAAAAGACAGAAGUUGAAAGUACAAAAAUACUAGAAGGUACAGCUCUGACAAAGAAUAAUAAAAAGGUCUUUACUAAUGGCCAAAUGAAAUGCAUUUGUUGUAACCUUACCUGACCAGGUGCUACGUCAGUUGGAUCAGGGCCAUGAUGAAACUCUCUAUGCAGUUUUCCAGAAUGCAAGUCUAGUACAAAUUGCUUCAGUUUACCUGGAACUCUGGAAUAAAUUCAACAGAAACAUCCACAUGUCUAUUACAAGUUAAGUCCAAACACAAGAGAUUUAAAGUACACUGCUUAGAGUAGCCAACUUCUGUUUAUCUAGCACACUAUGCCUACUUUUAGGUGAUUAAUAGAGCACAGGGAGCCACAUGAUUUGCUAAGAUCUCCCACCAGCUUCUUUUUCUUUCCACUGUCUCUUGAGAACACAGCAAGUAUUUCAUCUUUUCAAUAACUCCCACAGAGCUGUACCAGCCAAUAACUUCAUUGUGAACUCCCUUCAGCUCCCCACUAACCAUAAUGUAAGAGGGAACAGCAGGUUCCAAAUGCACAGUUUACAGAUACAAAUGACACUUGGGGAGCACUAUUGACAAAACAUCUUUGAAAGGCUCUCUACUGCCUCAGCAACUGCACACACACCACAGAUAAGCACUAAGAGGAUAUCAAUGUAAAUCUAAUCUGAGAUCAUCUACUGUCACCCACAGCAAACGUGCUAAACUACAGCAUCCAGUUUUAUUUGUGAAAUGUCAAGUUGACUAAAAAUCUCAAAGUGAAGAGUUAAUCUAUGUGCAGCGAAUACAGUCUUCCAAAGUAACAGAAACACAGGAAGAAAAAUAGUCACUUAUCAAGAAUUUCAACACACAGAGCUUCAGAUAUUUGAAAAGCACUAUUCAAGAUACAUCAAAGAGAGACAAAAUUUUAGAGAUAAGGCUGUGGAGAAUUGCAGAAAGAAGCUAAGUUUGAACUCUCCUCCCAGAUGUCAGUAUCUCAGGUAGAAAAAUGUCUCCUGGAAUAGCAUGAUAUUACAUUCACAUUGCAUGCUAAGUCUGAGCUUUGAAUCCUUGACAAAAAUUAAAUACCCAGCCUAGACAUCUAACCAGGGUUAGCAGGCAGUGUAUGUGCAGCUGCCUCCUUUGAGACAGAAACUGGAGGUGUUUUUAACACCCAACCAGAAAACAAAGAGCACUUGUCUCAGGCUGAAAGCUCCUGAAGAGGACAUCCACACAUCUUCAUUCUUGACUGACCCAUGCCAGACAGAACAUCUGCUUCCAAGGCCAUGCACCAUGGUCAGGCUGAGGUAACAAGGGUUAUCACAGCAGAAUUUCACCCAAGCACCCUGGUACGUUGCUGUCAUGUAUUUUAUCCAGAUAAACAUGCCAGUGAUUGCCCAUUUUCCAAGUAGCACAUGGAAAAUUUCACAAACCCACACAACUAUUUCUUUGCCAAUUUUCCAGGUGUAGACUAAUGCAGGAAGGCUAGAAUUGCACUGCAGGAAAACCCAAACCUGCAGGCUGGGAAUUAUUACAUGCUGCUUUUUACAGUAAUCCCUGAAUAACACAGUACUUCACAUUCCAUGCAGUAUUUUUAAUCUUUUAUAGUUGAGAUAUCUAGAUCACUAAUAAGAAUGCCAUGCCAGGCUCCAAAUGCCUAACCAUGAUAGAAAAUAGCCAAACUGUGAAGGAAAAGAAGACCAGCAUCUAAGAACUUCAUAUGAGAUUAUUUUCUUGCAUAAAGUAGUACAAAUCCAUUUAAACAAUGACUUCAAUGUCAGCUCAAUAAGGCUCUGACAUUAAAUCACACAGAGGCAGCCUUAGCAACCCCAGAUUUACUCAUCUUCCUACCACAGUACUGAUUAAAGUAGGAGCCUUUUCACUUGUUCUUCUCAAAUUAAAAUGCACCAAGAAAAAUACUUACGACAAGUCACUGAAGUCUGGAAAGACAUACAUGUGCCUGAAGCUAUCAAUGGCAAUGACAGGGCAGUCUGCUGGAGUCUUCUGAAUGUGGAGAAGUGGAUGCCUGAAUUUGUCACAGUCAGCGUGGAGGAAGUUUA